AAGCUGGGAGAGGCAGACAGAGAAGGAAGGGUGACUGAUGAGCAGCGGAAGUCCGUCCCUUCUCCCCGGCUCUAACCUAGUCUCCCCACCCCCAGGCCCAGCCACAAAGCUGCUUUCUAAAGGUAAAAAUUAAUAAUGUGCAUGAAAGCGUUCUCCUUAGAUUGAUUAUGACAUUGUCACUUAACUUGUCCUGUGAAACGAAGGGAAAUAAACAGAAAUUCCUUUUGCUGAGAUUUACUACAUUUUAUCUGGGCUCUAGCCCUAAUGUAACCAUCUGAUAUAUAUCUAGGGAGACAGGUGUUCCAAUGACCUUGUCUCAAGCUGGAAAAAAAAUCUGACACUAAAAAAACCAUUUAUUUGGCUGCACUGGGUCUUAGUUGCGGCACAAGGGACCUUCUCUGUAGUCGGAGGACUUCUCUCUGCUCUGGCAUGUGGACUCAGUUGCCCCAGGGAUGUGGGGUCUUAGUACCCCAACCAGGGGUGGAACCUGAGUCCCCUGCGCUGGAAGGCAGAUUCUUAGCCACUGAACCACCAGAGAAGUCCCUGACAUUUUCGAUUUAGAGCAAGCUACCUCUGAUCAUUGUUUUCAUCAUCAUACACACACAAUCUAUAAAUGAAUCAAUCAAUUAAUGAAGCACCUAUCACCUGAUGAAAAAAGCAAUCACUUCCCCAGUGACGUUACCCAAAACAAAAACACAUGUAAGAAGCCAGGAGCGAGCUGUUAAAAAACAACCUGAGUUUUACUUUAAAAAAAAAGUCAAAGCUCCUUUUAUAAAGGCGAGCUUUUUGAAUUUUCUGAUGAUCUGAUCAUCGCGGGUCCUGGAGAAGCGGCUGCUGCAGCUUCUACGCAGGAGCCACGGCCCCGCCGCCCAGGGUGCAGUCAGCCUCGGCGGCUGUCCGCAGGUGCCCCCGAUUCCGGAGGACAAAAGGAAAACCUUUCCAUCAGGUUAGGCGCCAGCACUUCUCCGUGGUCCACGCUGCGUUUAGGAAAAGAGACCAGCCCUUUCCGAUUAUGAGCAGCAGGCCUGCCUCCCGAUUCCAAGUUUCUGUUCAGAAGACCUGGCCGCAGCUAUCGUUCAACUUGUAACUAAGGGCUGACAUUUUCCGAAGACUUCCUGGGCAGAGGCCCUGGGCAACCCCCACAUUAUCCUCUCGGGGGCCCUGGGCCUCCACCGCCCGUCUGGUUCACGGAUGACCAACCCGCAACAUGGAGACGGCACAGCUCAAGUGACGGCUUCCCCGCUUUUUAUGUUUGUUUUAAUGGAGUAUAACUGCUUUACACUGUGUUAUUUCUGCUGUACGAUGAUGUGAAUCAGUUUUACAUAUACACAUACCCCCUCCCUCUUAGACCUUCCUCCGACCCCCAAUCCCCAUCCCACCCCCC